rnacentral:rRNA from 1 species
UACCAGCACCCCGAGUGGUCGGGACGAUUAUUGGGCCUAAAGCAUCCGUAGCCGGUUCUACAAGUCUUCCGUUAAAUCCACCUGCUCAACAGAUGGGCUGCGGAGGAUACUAUAGAGCUAGGAGGCGGGAGAGGCAAGCGGUACUUAGUGGGUAGGGGUAAAAUCCGUUGAUCCAUUGAAGACCACCAGUGGCGAAGGCGGCUUGCCAGAACGCACUCGACGGU